ensembl:misc_RNA Y_RNA Y RNA
GGCUGGUCUGAAGGUAGAGAAUUAUCUCACUUUACUGUUCACAAGUCAGUUACAGACUAAACUCCCUGUUAUGCUCUUUCCUUUCUUCUCAUUAUAGCACUUGACUAGUCUUUA